UCGGGUUGUAAAGCACUUUUGUCCGGAAAGAAAACUUCUGCCCUAAUACGGUGGGAGGAUGACGGUACCGGAAGAAUAAGCACCGGCUAACUACGUGCCAGCAGCCGCGGUAAUACGUAGGGUGCGAGCGUUAAUCGGAAUUACUGGGCGUAAAGCGUGCGCAGGCGGUUCGUUAAGACAGAUGUGAAAUCCCCGGGCUUAACCUGGGAACUGCAUUUGUGACUGGCGAGCUAGAGUAUGGCAGAGGGGGGUAGAAUUCCACGUGUAGCAGUGAAAUGCGUAGAGAUGUGGAGGAAUACCGAUGGCGAAGGCAGCCCCCUGGGCCAAUACUGACGCUCAUGCACGAAAGCGUGGGGAGCAAACAGGAUUAGAUACCCUGGUAGUCCACGCCCUAAACGAUGUCAACUAGUUGUUGGGUCUUCAUUGACUUAGUAACGUAGCUAACGCGUGAAGUUGACCGCCUGGGGAGUACGGUCGCAAGAUUAAAACUCAAAGGAAUUGACGGGGACCCGCACAAGCGGUGGGAUGAUGUGGAUUAAUUCGAUGCAACGCGAAAAACCUUACCUACCCUUGACAUGGUCGGAACCCUGCUG
rnacentral:rRNA from 1 species